AAUUUGUACAGUGGAGGUGCUGAGAGCCACUGAAUCAAAUUGAACCAAACCCUGUGUAUGAUGGACACCACUUUCAGCACCUAAAAGAAGAAGGUGAAAGGGGUGAGCAAUUGGAACCUCAGUGGGGAGGCACCAAGCAGUUGGAGCCUCUGGGUAGGGGAUGAGAGAGCUGAAGAAACAGAACUAGUCGAUCUCCUGGUGCCCCAAACAAAACUAGAUCCUGCUGUUCCC